AGGGGCAUCGGGGCGAGGAGCAAUCCUUGCCGCCGGCGACCGGCGCACGGGUGAGUAACGCGUAUGCGACCUGCCCGUUGCAGGGGGAUAAUCGGGAGAAAUCCCGUCUAAUACCGCGUAACGCCGCGGGGCUGCAUGGCCCUGCGGCCAAAGGAAGCGAUUCCGGCAACGGAUGGGCAUGCGUGACAUUAGCUAGUUGGCGGGGCAACGGCCCACCAAGGCGACGAUGUCUAGGGGUUCUGAGAGGAAGGUCCCCCACACUGGUACCGAGACACGGACCAGACUCCUACGGGAGGCAGCAGUGAGGAAUAUUGGUCAAUGGGCGCGAGCCUGAACCAGCCAAGUCGCGUGAGGGAUGACGGCCCUACGGGUUGUAAACCUCUUUUGUCGGGGAGCAGAUUCCGCCACGCGUGGCGGAGUCGAGAGUACCCGAAGAAAAAGCAUCGGCUAACUCCGUGCCAGCAGCCGCGGUAAUACGGAGGAUGCGAGCGUUAUCCGGAUUUAUUGGGUUUAAAGGGUGCGUAGGCGGACUGUCAAGUCAGCGGUAAAAUACGGGGGCUCAACCUCCGCCCGCCGUUGAAACUGACGGUCUUGAGUGGGCGAGAAGUAUGCGGAAUGCGUGGUGUAGCGGUGAAAUGCAUAGAUAUCACGCAGAACUCCGAUUUGCGAAGGCAGCAUACCGGCGCCCAACUGACGCUGAAGCACGAAAGCGU
rnacentral:rRNA from 1 species